UUGCAAGCCUCCAGCAUGUUUGGGUCUACAGUGACCCUGUGCAUUCCUACAGUGCCUGCGAGAAAAGUUUUGAAAUGGUCUAAGGCCUCUGCUCGGUCUACAGAGCAAGGUAAUAGAAAUAUCAGACCAUU
rnacentral:snoRNA from 1 species